rnacentral:rRNA from 1 species
GAUGAGCGCUAGCUACAGGCUUAACACAUACAAGUCGAGGGGUAACGAGAGGAAAGCUUGCUUUCCUUGUCGACGACCGGCGCACGGGUGAGUAACGCGUAUCCAACCUGCCCCCAACUAGGGAAUAACCUUGCGAAAGUAAGACUAAUACCCUAUAAUUUCCUCAGAUGUCAUCUGACGAGGAAUAAAGAUUUAUCGGUUGUGGAUGGGGAUGCCUCUGAUUAGCUUGUUGGCGGGGUAACGGCACACCAAGGCUACGAUCAGUAGGGGUUCUGAGAGGACGGUACCCAACAUUGGAACGAGGACACGGUCCAAAAUCCUACGGGAGGCAGCAGUGAGGAAUAUUGGUCAAUGGGCGGAAGCCUGAACCAGCCAAGUAGCGUGCAGGAUGACGGCCCUAUGGGUUGUAAACUGCUUUUAUACAGGAAUAAAGAUAGCCACGUGUGGUUAUUUGUAGGUACUGUAUGAAUAAGGACCGGCUAAUUCCGUGCCAGCCGCCGCAGUAA